rnacentral:sRNA from 1 species
CUAAGAUACACCCUAGUGAAGAGACGGUUUGUGGAAUCCAUGGCAGAGGGAUUAGAGUGAUGGAAUGAAGAACCUCAGGGGCUAGGGGGUUUGUGGAGUGGGGACACCCUUGGGGCUGGUUGCUCUUACCUCUCUCUCCUCUCCCAGAGCACUGUCCCUUCCCAGUAUUGGUACUACAUGAUUGAACUUUCCUUCUACUGGUCCCUGCUCUUCAGCAUUGCCUCUGAUGUCAAGCGAAAGGAUUUCAAGGAACAGAUCAUCCACCAUGUGGCCACCAUCAUCCUCAUCAGCUUUUCCUGGUUUGCCAAUUACAUCCGAGCUGGGACUCUAAUCAUGGCUCUGCAUGACUCUUCUGAUUACCUGCUGGAGGUCAGGCUUCCUCAAACCUAGAGACCCCAGUGCAGGUUCUUCUGUCCCUUUGGUUUUCUUUGGGAGGGAGGUGCGGGGUGGGAAUUUGGAGGGUGACAUUCCUGGGACCAAGGGGGAGGGCACAGUCAGUGCUCCUAACUGGGGUGUACAUAUGAAUGUACUCGAGGGAGUCAGCAGCCCAUGAUGAUGGAUGGGGGCUCUCUAUGCAGUCAGCCAAGAUGUUUAACUAUGCGGGAUGGAAGAACACCUGCAACAACAUCUUCAUCAUCUUCGCCAUUGUUUUCAUCAUCACCCGACUGGUCAUCCUGCCCUUCUGGAUCCUGCAUUGCACCCUGGUGUACCCACUGGAGCUCUAUCCUGCCUUCUUUGGCUAUUACUUCUUCAAUUCCAUGAUGGGAGUUCUACAGCUGUUGCAUAUCUUCUGGGCCUACCUCAUUUUGCGCAUGGCCCACAAGUUCAUAACUGGAAAGCUGGUAGAAGAUGAACGCAGUGACCGGGAAGAAACAGAGAGCUCAGAGGGGGAGGAGGCUGCAGCUGGGGGAGGAGCAAAGAGCCGGCCCCUAGCCAAUGGCCACCCCAUCCUCAAUAACAACCAUCGGCCUUUGGAGGUGGAGAAGGGAUCCUGCCUGCUAGCACCACAUUGGAAGAGAUCAUCUGGUCCAGAACCCCCAUUUCUAUCUACUAGGAGCUGGGGGGAGUAGCUAGCCCAGAGACUUCGGGUCAGGGUUCAACAAUCAGGAAGACCCAGUUCCUGAGGAAACGACAGUUCAAGAAGGGUUGGGAAGAAGGCUGUCCUCUAAAGAAGACGUCCUCUGCAUUCAAUGGCCCCACAGCAACAGAGCAGCUCCUUGCCUUCCACACUGCCCACCUCGUAGUUGUAGUCCCAAGCUACCAGUCAUGUUCUUCUUGUCCUCAAAGUCAUCCCCUUCAGAGCCAGAGGAGAUGGUCUGGAUAUCAUCACUGUCAACCGCUGUAGCCGAAGUCUGACCAGCAGUGGGCUUUCGGCUGGUCCCACUUUCCCCCUCACUUUCUGUGCUGCUGGACAGUGUCAGGACAUCCUGGGGAAGCAGGAGGGGGUCCUCUGUACCGCUGUUGCCAUCUUCCUGGUCCUUCAAGUCUACACCACUGCUGUCAGAGGAACAGGGGGCAUCACUCUCAUAUCCUUCUUUGAAGUUCUCCACGCUCUCGAUAUGGUCCAGAUUUGCAAAGUACUCAUCACCCAUUUCCAGACCCUCCUUGUCUGCAAA